UGCUUUGAGUUCCUGCGGGUAGCCUGAGGU
rnacentral:piRNA from 1 species